rnacentral:rRNA from 1 species
CAGUCGCCGCGGGAAUACGUAGGGGGCAAGCGUUAUCCGGAAUUAUUGGGCGUAAAGAGUGCGUAGGUGGUCUACUAAGCGCGAGGUGAAAGGCAAUGGCUCAACCAUUGUUAGCCUUGCGAACUGGCAGACUUGAGUGCAAGAGAGGAAAGCGGAAUUCCUAGUGUAGCGGUGAAAUGCGCAGAUAUUAGGAGGAACACCGGCGGCGAAGGCGGCUUUCUGGAUUGUAACUGACACUGAGGCACGAAAGCGUGGGUAGCAAACAGGAUUAGAUACCCGCGUAGUCCCUGUCUCUUAUACA